rnacentral:rRNA from 1 species
ACGCUGGCGGCGUGCCUAAUACAUGCAAGUCGAACGGUCUUUUCUAUGGAAGCUUGCUUCCACUGAGAAGAUAGUGGCGAACGGGUGAGUAACACGUGGGUAACCUGCCCAUAAGAGGGGGAUAACAUCCGGAAACGGGUGCUAAUACCGCAUAGUUUUCUUGAUUGCAUGAUCGGGAAAGGAAAGACGGCCUUUGUGCUGUCGCUUAUGGAUGGACCCGCGGCGUAUUAGUUAGUUGGUGAGGUAACGGCUCACCAAGACGAUGAUACGUAGCCGACCUGAGAGGGUGAUCGGCCACAUUGGGACUGAGACACGGCCCAAACUCCUACGGGAGGCAGCAGUAGGGAAUCUUCCGCAAUGGACGAAAGUCUGACGGAGCAACGCCGCGUGAGUGAAGAAAGGUUUUCGGAUCGUAAAACUCUGUUGUCAGAGAAGAACAAGUUGGAGAGUAACUGCUCCAGCCUUGACGGUAUCUGACCAGAAAGCCACGGCUAACUACGUGCCAGCCGCCGC